rnacentral:lncRNA from 1 species
CUGACAGUUUGGCUUCCCUGUUCCAGGUGGCAAAGCCUGUGGGGUAUUCACCUACCUGCUGCAUGAAGGCAGCAUGGAGGGACUGUGGUGGAUUAUCUGCAAAGAUGGCCCAAAUUCUCUCAUCCCUGCAGGUACAUACAAGAUGCCAGAAUCAGUCAAAACUAAGCUCACUGUCCUUGCUAAUAUUCUGCCCCAGAGGAGAACUGAAGCUCAGCUAUUCACCCUACAGAAAGCCUGAAUUUUGUAAAUGUUCUGCUUAGAAUGAGGAAGAAAGAUGAAGAAUGAGGAGGAAGAAGGGAGGAACAAGAGAGAGAGGUUGUUGCAUGGCAUAAGUAAAAUGACAGCUAUAGAAUAUGUGCAACUUUUCAGUGACAAAGACCUGUGAAGCAUUGACAGUACCACCUAAUGAGGUUUCACGAUAACUAAGUAUCACAACCAGUUUACAGACCAGAAAACUGAGACACAGGAAGGGUUGGUGACUUGAGCAAGGUGCAUCAGCUGCCAGGUUUCCAGAAGUUCCCUAGUCAUUGGGCAUUUCUGAGACUCUUGAUGCAUAUGCCAAGUAGUUAUGGAGAAAGACAUAGCCGCUUACCUCUGCAGGCAUCAUUGUGUGAAAGGAAGACCGAGGCUGUCUCACCACCCUUGAAGAGAAGCCUUUUGCUAAGGUGAUAGCUGCAUGUCCAAGCCUAUUGCGUGGCAUGGAUUUUGCCUUCUACAGCCCACUAAAGGAAAUUGAGGUGUACGGAAUGCUUAUUUGGUUGACUCAGUAUCAUCCUAAAUGUAUGAACUAAUGUUUAGGAGUUUGCAGUUCACCCGCAAACCUCAGCGAUCCAAGCUCCCCUGGA